rnacentral:piRNA from 1 species
UCAACCUCUACAUGUCCACUAAAGUUAUUGC